ensembl:lncRNA
CUGCUAUCCAAAGAAAUGGGAAAAGAGGAAGCUGGAGGACAGCACAUGGCUUGGAGAAAGAGUCAGAGGGGCCACGUGUCCAACCAGAACCUUCCAGGAGCUGAUGACUCCGUGGGACUUGCUAUGGAGGACAGAGAAUCCCAGAAUACCCUGAGCUGGAAGGGUCCCACAAGGAUCAUUGAGGAUUAACUCCUGCUCAGGCUGAGUCCCUGGGAACACAAAUCAGCAGGAUGACAGCACAAAGACAACCAAAACAUCAACGCAAUCUCUCCCUGUGCUUGCUCUCCAAGGCUCUGUGGUACCUGCUGUGAUUUAGCUCUCCUGGGUUUGUUCCAAGCUCCUCGCUCUGGGGCUGGGCUGAAUGAGAGAGCUCGUGCUCAGCAGGGCGAGGGUGAGAGAAUUCCUGCCCUUGCUCAAUUUAUGAUAUUGUGACCUGUAAUAUGAUUUUUCCCCCUUGUAUUAGAUUUCGGGUGGAUUUCUCAAAUGGCAGGAAAACAGGGCAGGAACACAAGUUUUAUAGCUCCUGACAGCUCCAAAAACACAUUAUUGAAUUCCAGAGCGAGGGCAUUACAAAGGCUUUUGGCUUCAGGUCCAUGGGGAGUUUUGGCUGGUGUUCUGCCUUGGAAUGGGAUUUUAAAGGCGCAUCUGAGGCAGUAUCACUCAUCUCCUGGAUAAGAGAGGCCAGCUGGAAGGAGGCUGGAGCCCCAGGGACACGAGGACAGUGUUCUCCAGAGGUUUCUUUCUCACCAUUGCAGCAGCAAGUCUCUAAUUAAGCUCUCAGAACACACCCUGUUCCAGACUGGCCUGUGGAUGAAACUGCCCUUUAAAAAGGGAACUGAGAUACCCAAGGGGCUGGACCGCUCCAGGACUGGGCAGCAGAUUUGCAGGAAUGAUGCUGCAGUGAUGGAGGACAGACAGGAACCUGGCAGUUUGUGUCUCCAAGACUGGAUGGCUGUGUCCUGGAUGGGGUCUGAGGGACCUGCUGUCUGGCUGCUGGGUCACCUUCCACUGUCAUCUGCCUCGCCGAGUGUUGGAUUCUCUGUGAAAUGCCGGCUUUCCCUGAUAACUCCACCACAACAACUUCAGUUACAUGAGAAAAAUGCAGCUCAGACAAUUCACAACCCCAUGGAUCCACCACCAGAGGCUUUCAUGAAUCUUUUUAUGAACACACUGCCAAGUGUGAGAUCCACUCAAGGCAUUCCAGAGGUGACCACGGGGCUUGGGGAAGGGGCUGCAGUGGCAGGAAGGGCCCUGGGGCUGGUGGCAGCAGUGGUGGGCAGGGUUGGACCCUCGGGCAGCAGCUUCAAUCCUAGAAGCUCCUCCUGGUGCUGGAGCAGGGUGGGAGGGCUCUGCUGCCAUGGUCCUGACAUGGGACCUCCUUGCUCCUGCUGCAACAGUGCCCCUUGGAGCAUUUUUCAUGGCUGUGAAGCUGCCAUUCUUUAAAAGCAGCUAUUCCUGCCCGUGGCUGGGCUUGGAAUGAGAUGAUCUUUAAGGUCCCUUCAAACCCAAAUAAUUCUGUUGCUCUACAGCUUAAAGCAUUGCUGGCCAAGGAGAGGCUGCUCCAUCCCCUUAACUCCAUCCCAGAGCAGAGAGAUUUCUUCAGGGCCACAUCCUGUGGCUUUGGGGUCUGAUUCAGGCACUGGACAUGGGGAAGAGCUCCUCUCUCCCUGGCUCCUCACAACGUGGAGCAGCCUGAGCCCGGAGGGACUCAGCUCCUGAGCAGCAGGAUCGGAGCAGAAGUUCCUGCUGAUACUGCAGUGGAGAAAUGCUGCAUUAAAGCAGGAAAUAUCCAAUGUGCAUUGCAAAUGAAGAGGUUUUUCAUUUGUGUUCUAAAGGAGGAAAAAUAUCACCCAGCUCAGUUAAUAACAUGGGAAAGCUCUUGUGGUUAUCAGGGAUCUUCAGCUCUAAUCCCCUCUGAUAACAGUAAAUUGAAGCAGCUCCUCUGCUGAGGUUUCUCUGUUGCUGGAUCGUACCCAUAUAAUAAGAAAAAUGGGCACUGCCUCUCCUAUUUACCAUUCCUUCAUUUAAAUAAGUUUUUAAACUGCACUUUCCUCCCUUCAGAGACAUCUGAUUUACUGCAUUUUAAACAGAAACCACUCCUGCAACAAUACCUCUUUCUAUCAAGAUUUGUAAUCAGGCUGUUGCUGUUGAACUGUUGUUAUUCACGUUAUUAAUUUGUCAUUUUGCAUGGAGUCUGAUCAGAGAAAGAGAUGAACAGGAGGGUCUGUGCACCUGCAGGCUGAGCAGGAUGGAUUUAAUUAGAGCAAAGAAAGCUGCAGGUUUUAUUUUGUGUUUGUGGGUUUUGGUUUGGUUUUUCCUCAGCCCAGCGUUUUAAGAGCUUACACAGCAAUCUGCAUAAAUUACUAUGCAGAUUUUUACUUAGCUUCUUACACCUAAUUUGAUUUAUGAUAAUGACUCUGACAGGGUAGAUGGAGAGGGAGGUUUUACAAAGACGUGCAGUGACAGGACAAGGGGAAUGGCCUUAGGCUUAAGAAGAUGGGAUAUUGGGAAGGAAUUGUUCCCUGGGAGGGUGGGGAGGCCCUGGCACAGGGCGCCCAGAGCAGCUGUGGCUGCCCCUGGAUCCCUGGCAGUGCCCAAGGCCAGGCUGGACGGGGCUUGGAGCAGCCUGGGGUAGUGGAAGGUGUCCCUGCCCGUGGGAGAGGGAGGUGGGACUUCAAGGUCCUUUCCAGCCCAACCCAUUCCAUGAUUCUCAGGUCACAGCAAAUUUUGGGUGAGGGAACAAGAUGGAUCAGCUUCGGUGCUAUUCACUCUAGAGACAGCAAACGCUGCCCACUGGCCUUUACCACUGACUCCAGGAUGGUUUCCUUGCUCUUGGGCUGCUGUGUGUGCGAGCAGGGAGCUGGAAACCUUUGCACUGGACGUGAGCUUUGUUUUCUGAUCUCAGCUCCUGUGCUGCCCUGCCCAGACCAAGUUUCUGCUGAUGGAAAUUCUCUGGGGCAGGUUUGAUGUCCCACUCAGUAACCCCAGCUUGCCUGGUGAUUCAGACCUCUCCAACUGCCUCAGGCACCUUCCCUCCACUUGCUGGCUGACACAACAAAGUAAAGUUUUCCAUCCAUUUCUUCUGCUCGCAGUUCAAGCCCAGCAACCCUCUGCAGUUGGUUUUUGCUGCAGGGAAGGUGUUAGGAAGAGUAGAAAUAUUAAUUAGAAGGCGCUGACAUUUUUUAUCCCCAUUUCUUUUUCACACUUUCACUCAUAUUUUUACUCUGAGGAGAGUGCAGCACUGGAGAGGCCAUGGGAUCACUGUCCACGGAGGGUUUUAAGGCUCAGCUGGGUGAAGUCGUGGCUGAGCUGGUCUAGUGUUGAUUCUAAUCCUACUUUGAGAAGGAUCUUGGGUCAGAGAGCUCCAGAAACCCCCAUUUCUGUGAUUCCUCAGAUUCUGUGCCAAGCCAGCCCCAGUUUGCUCUGCUUGAAGAGCCUCUGGAGGAGUGACUUUGGGUGAAAGAAGAGGGAGCUGAGGCUGUGAUCCCACUUUCCCAAAAUGAAUAAAAAAAAAGAAAAAGGAAUUCUGGCAGUAAGAGAAGCCCCAUUUUUAUUGAUGCUGCACAGAGGCAAGUGAUUUUGCAUCUAGUUUUAGGAGAGCAGUAUAACUGCUUUUGACAGCCUGGUCUAAUAAUAAUAAAAAGGCCCAGCUCCUCAUAUUGCAACCUGAUAGUAAAGCUGGAGUGUGAAUUUAUCCCAUAAAAAUUCAUCUACCAUGGCUAAAGCCCUGUAAAUUGAGUCCUGUGUUUUGGUUGUUAAAUAAAAACAAAAACACACCACAGAGUAAUGACAGAAACGUCGCUCGGCUCUUGUGAUUGUGUCUUGUUAAAACAUCACUUAGGGUAAUUUACAGGCUUUGAUUAAAGCAUGUAUUUCAAUGAAUUAUCGCCUCCCAUCUCUCCCCUUCUCCUGCUCCCCCCUCACCCCUUCCAUGGGGAUGUAAAACACCAGGCUGAGGCUGGAUUUCUUCAGGGAGAAAGCAGGAACCCAUUCCCCUGCACCAUAAACCCCUGCCACACUUUGGUGCUCACUGCCUGUCACCAGCCACGAGCUUUUGUUACAGCUCAGAAGGCCAAAGGAGGGCUGAGAUGCUCCCUGUGGUGGCUGGAGAAGUUUUUGGGAAGCAGCAGGGGAGAUGCUGCCCCACAGCCAGGGCUGUGCCCCACCUUCCCUGCCCUUCUCCAUCCCAAAUCCUCGCUCGUGCCCAAAUCACUGCCGAGGGUGUUUGCAAGCCUAAAACCUGAGCACCAGGAGAGAAAUUUGUAUUAAAGUGCUUUCAGACAUCAGAGAGUGUUUCUGGGCUGUCUCAGUUAAGCUCAGCUGUGUUAGGAGCAAAAAUCCAGGGAGCUGCCUCUGCCAGUGAGUGGAGGGAGCACCUGCAGGGAUACCUCCUUUGAUCCCUGUCCCAAGAGCCUGGAACAUGCAGCUUGUGCUCUCCCUGAGCCACAGGCUCAGCCUUUUGUUGAAUUUGAAGGCCUUCAAUGGAUUGUUCUUCUGUGAACUUGCCCAGCUGCUUUUUGAACCCAUCUAAAUUUUCUUCUCCGCAGGUUCCUGCAGGAGGAAGAUCCCCAGCUGAGCUCUGGGGUGUGUGAAAAGGGCCUCCUGAGGCCUCUUUUGAACCUUCCAAUUACUGAUUUCACUUCAUGGUCCCAAAUUCUUGCAUUAGAAUAGAUCACAAUGACUCAUUUCCUCCCUCCUGCCUUUGUGUCUCAUUCCAUCUCCUGUGCCUCUCUAUUCCAAUUUUCUGUUUCCCCUCCUGACAGGUCCUAAUCUGUUUGGCUGCUUCUCAUUUGGGAGCUGUUUCAUACUUCUGAUGACCUUUGCUGCUUUCCCCUGGACAUCUUUCAUUCCCACUUUGCUCUUUUCCAAACAGAAGGCCCAGGCUGUGCCCAGCUCUCGAGACGCUGGGAAGCCAUGAAUUUAUGCAGUGGCAGAAAGCACCAAAAUAGAUGUUCUCUCUUUCAUUCUCUAAUAAUUCCCACUGUUUCAUUCGCCUUU